ensembl:antisense D530033B14Rik RIKEN cDNA D530033B14 gene
UGCUCUCUGUGGGGCUAUGAGGUGAGGCGCUUCAAUGUCCCCCGCGGGCAGCGCCCUCUGGUGGCAAGGUCGAGAACCGGACUCGCUUGUUUUCUCCUUUGCCUAAAUAUCAGAAGUAUGUAGCGAUGAUGGGAACAGGAAAGUUCAGUGGAGAAUAGAGACUAGGCUAUAAGACAUCCACACCGACGAUGAAUAAAGCCCUAAAAUUAUCACCCU